UCGAGAAUCUUCCCCAAUGGCCGAAAGGCUGAGGGAGCGACGCCGCGUGCAGGACGAAGGGCUUCGGUCUGUAAACUGCUUUUCUCAGGGACGAACGAUGACGGUACCUGAGGAAUAAGAGGUUGCUAACUCUGUGCCAGCAGCAGCGGUAAUACAGAGACCUCAAACGUUGUCCGGAUUUACUGGGCGUAAAGGGUCCGUAGGCGGCUUUGUGCGUCGGUGGUCAAAUCUUGGAGCUCAACUCCAAGACCGCCAUCGAUACGGCAAGGCUCGAGCAUGGGAGAGGUACGCGGAAUUGCCGGUGUAGUAGUAAAAUGCGUUAAUAUCGGCAAGAACACCAAAUGCGAAGGCAGCGUACUGGAACAUUGCUGACGCUCAGGGACGAAAGCGUGGGGAGCGAAAGGGAUUAGAAACCCGUGUAG
rnacentral:rRNA from 1 species